rnacentral:rRNA from 1 species
UGGGGAAUAUUGGACAAUGGGGGCAACCCUGAUCCAGCGAUGCCGCGUGAGUGAAGAAGGCCUUCGGGUCGUAAAGCUCUUUAGGUUGGGAAGAAGUUUCAUGUGGGAUAAUCACGUGGAAUUGACGGUACCGACAGAAUAAGCACCGGCAAACUCUGUGCCAGCAGCCGCGGUAAUACAGAGGGUGCGAGCGUUAAUCGGAAUUACUGGGCGUAAAGGGCGCGUAGGCGGUUUUAUGGGUGUGAUGUGAAAGCCCCGGGCUUAACCUGGGAAGUGCAUCGCAAACUAUGGAACUGGAGUAUAUGAGAGGGUGGCGGAAUUUCCGGUGUAGCGGUGAAAUGCGUAGAGAUCGGAAGGAACGUCGAUGGCGAAGGCAGCCACCUGGCAUAAUACUGACGCUGAGGCGCGAAAGCGUGGGGAGCGAACAG